CCCUAUAGCUUUUUUUUUUUUGUGCAACAACUAAAAGAAACGAAAGGCUUUGGUAAUGAUCACAUGAAUAUACAUAUUAAAAUAUAGCCUGUAGAAUUCGACCAGUAAUGAAGCAUUAAAAACCGAAGCAACUUAUUGUCACUCUGUUUCUCUCUCUCUUCGUCACUCUGUUUCUUGAUAUCUCUGUUUUACACAAACACAAUUCAAGAAGCAACUUAUUGUCAGAAAAUAGCAAACAUAAGAUUCCUUUAUUUUGCUUCCAUUGUCUAGAAAUGGGUUCUUGCCUUAGCUCUCGUGUCAAUAAUAGAGAUUAACUACUUGGGGCAGUUAAAGCCACCAAAACUUAGUUAAACUGAUUGGUUACUGCUUGGAAGAUGAGCAAAGGCUACUUGUGUAUGAGUUUAUGCACAAGGGUUGUCUUGAGGAUCAUCUCUUCACAAAUGGUGUGAAGUGUAGGCCGCUCUCUUGGACCUUACGGGUUAAGGUUGCGCUUGAUGCAGCUAAAGGUCUCGCCUUUCUUCAUAGUGACCCUGUUAAAGUCAUACACUGAGACAUAAAGGUCUCCAAACAUCUUGCUGGACUCGGUAUACAAACGCUCUUUCGAAUAAAAACUGUUAAAUUAAGUGUUAAAUUAGUUUAGACGGCUAACAAAAUAUGUUUCUAGUCUAUAAAUUAGUUUAGCCGGCUAACAAAAUAUGUUUCUGUCUAUAAAUUAGUUUAGCCGGCUAAUAAACAUAUGUUUUUGUAUUCAUUUUCUUUGAUUUUAUUUUUGGUAAGGUUCACUUAAGUAUUCAUAUAGUUGAUAUGUAAGUAAACUAAGUUAAAAUGUGAUUAUAUUAUAUACUUGUAAACUAGAUAAAGAUCCGCGCCUUGCGCGGGAUAAACAUUAUAUAUAUAUAUAAAUUAUUUUAUGUAUUAUAUGUUCUUACAUAUUAUGAAAUAA